rnacentral:rRNA from 1 species
AGUGAACGCUGGCGGUAGGCCUAACACAUGCAAGUCGAACGGCAGCACAGUAAGAUCUUGCUCUUACGGGUUGCGAGUGGCGUACGUGUGAGGAAUACAUCGGAAUCUACCUUUUCGUGUGGGUUAACGUAGGGAAACUUACGCUAAUACCGCAUACGACCUACGGUUGAAAUCAGUGGAUCUUCGUACCUUUCGCGUUUGAAUUAGCCGAUGUCGGAUUAGCUAGUUGGCGGGGUAAAGGCCCACCCAGGCGACGAUCCGUAGCUGGUCUGAGAGGAUGAGAAGCGACACGGGAAGGGAGACACGGAAAAGAGGACGAAGGGAGGGAGCAGUGGGGAAGAUGGGACAAUGGGGGAAAGCAUGAUACAGCAAUACGGAGUGGGAGAAGAAGGCGUGGGGGUUGGAAAGACCGGUUGUGGGGAAAGAAAAGCAGCAGGUUAAUACGAAGCUGGAGGGACGGUAACGAAAGAAGAAGCACCGGCUAACUACGUG